AUCGUUCCGAUUGUUCACGUCAGUUCAUACCGGCAAAGUACAAAUCCGGCGUAGUAAAUCACGAAACGCCCAAAAAGUGGUACUUUGUUGAGACGGACGGUGACAAUGACAGCAGGAAACACGGAGAUUCCGGCGAAAUCGCUGAUCGGACAAUGUUCCAGCUGUGAGCAGAACGAAUAUCAAAUACAUGAUUAGUGACUAUGUAGUGAUAACUGCGCGUUGCUUUGUAAAAGCGGACAAGGCAAUAGACAUUCACAUUUUCGGGAGUGCCAUCUGGGAUGUAUCGCAUGGUGCCGGUGCUAUUAAGUUCCACAUCCGACGGAAACCAUUAUAUUCUCGAUGCGGCACGAUGGUUUCCGCUUGUCGGAGAGCUUUGACGGAGCCAAUUAAAAGUUGAAAGCGGAUCAGCUGUUGAUGGCGCCAAAGUCAAGUUGAAUGGCAAGGAAGUUAAGUCCACUGAUGAUUCGGCGAUUCCAAACGUACUUGUAUACAUAAAUUUAAGGUUACCGCCACCAAUUUCGGAUUAUUUGAGGGCUUCAUGGAUCGGAAGUUACUGUGAUUCUGGUAUUUAUAUCAAGGCUACUAGAAGCGGGUGCUGAAACUCCACCAGCAGUACUUUGUCGACGAUGAAAAAGAAAUUUCUCCGCUGACGGGUACGGAGCAGCAAAACACCGAAAGCAGUUGCACGGAAUUUGAUCCUAUAGCGGUGCGAUUUGUGGAGAAGUGUAACGAGUGUUUGCUUCAGCACCAUAUCCUAGAACAGUAAGUUGCAGAGCAAGCAAUUGGAAUCGGUGAGCGAGGAAGAAAUGCAAAAGGAGAUUGACGAGAAUCCACCUCCGGAGGAGCCACUGAUGUGUGGAAACUGGAAAUGUGAAUUUGCCGGUAAUGGCAGCCGUGACCUCCAGAACACCGGUGGCAAUGGAUCGAAACGGAUGCGAAUCGUAUUUAGACCAGCAACUAUCAUCGCCAGAACCCAUCGAGAUGCAAGUGCAAUUGAUGAUUCCAGAGACGUUGCAGUCAAUAAUUGCUAGCUGUUCAGUUACAUUAAUUACGGCACCAGUAACUAUGUCGGAACAGCGCAAAAUGCAUUUUACACGCAGCUAGACCAUACAGAGGAUCGGUUUCCGGAAUUGAUGAAAAAUCGCCUGCCACAACUACAGAUAGUGACACUACAUUACAGCAGUUCUCUGAUCUGCAUAGCACCUAUCGCAGUGUAUGCCUUCCGGAUCAAUAAUCUGGGUAGUGUCUUCCAAUACCUUGUUGCAUGUAACAUGAGAGUUGGUUCCGAGUUGCAGAAUUCUGGCCGCGAGGUAAAAGCUGAACAUUUGUUUUUAUAUAUAUAAUAAGAAGAAAAAGACAUAUAUGUGUAAUAAAAUAAUUUCAGAAUAAUAAUAAAUAAA